AUUUCUUACUCAUUUUCUUACUUUGUUUCUUAGUCUAUUGUCUAUACAUGUUUCUUUACCCAAAUAACAAAGAGUUCUGUCUUGUCUUAAAGCUCAUAAGGACCUGCAGCGGUCUAAGGCUUUGGAGCACAGUGAUUGGCUGAGGGGCGUGGCUUCACGUCAGCACUUCCUGUACAUACAGAUUGUCAAUAAGAAGGUGACUCUGUACACGUAUAACUGGUCAGUGGAUCUGGGCGUCUCUGAAUCAGGGUCUGGUCAGACUGGUGCAGUGGCAGAACGCCAGCGCACAUGUGGUCAACUGCCUCCUCAGACAGAAAAUGGUCCUUUUCCAUCCUUACUGCUUCUCUGUUACACCUACACAUGAGGACCUGAAACAGAAUCCUGAAAAAAAAUCAGGGAUCCAUUACUGUAGCACUCCGCUGCUCUUUGACCCCGUCUUCCGGAAACAGAUUCAAGAGGAACAGCUGCCUCAGCCACAGAUGAAGGUCUGUCUCUCUUCCUCUUCCUCAUCCUGCAGAGUCUGUCUGCUGGCUCACACUGCAGUGAACCCAUUUACACACACACACACACACACACACACACACACACACACACAAAAAAAAGUGUUAGGAUAAUUAAUUAGGAUAAAUGAAUAUUAAUAAUAAUAACUAUAAGUAUGAAGCAUAUAAUUCCAUUGUUAGUGCAUGAUAUUUCUUUUUUGUUUUAUUUAUUUUUUUGUUGUUAUUAUUUUUAUUAUUAUUUGUUAUUAUUGAACCAUUAUUACAGUUGUUGUUUUAUUUUUCAUGUAAUUAAUUUUAAUGUAAUAUUAAUUCAUGUAUUAUAAAUAAUAUUAUUAAUUAUAAUUUUAUUAUAAUAGAAUUGGUUUAUUUAUUGUAUAUAUAGUCAUAAUUGUUAAAAAAUAUAUAUAUAUUUUGAUUAAUCAGAACUGUGAACCAUAUAAUUAUAUUACGAGUGCAUAAGAUUUAU
ensembl:lncRNA